rnacentral:lncRNA from 1 species
CACAAUCUACAAGAUGAUACAUCAGACAGGUGUUGUCAGUAGAGUGUGAUACACAAUCUACAAGGUGAUACAUCAGGCAGGUGUUGUCAGUAGAGUCUGAUA